UACUGAGAAAAAUCAGAUACACAUGUAGGCGGCAAUUAACGUCAGGCGUGCCAUCACGAACGCGCGAUUAUCCUCCUCUUUGUCUCGCGUACAUGUUAAAUCUAAGAUCUUAAUUAUUCAGAUUAAAUUAAUUUAAGCGCGAACCGCGCGCGCUGUGUAACGCCUCAAUAAUUAAAAUCAAAUCGACGUUUAUUCUGCGGGAGACGAAUACGCGGCACGCGAUAUUCGCGUGUUGUAUUUUCUCUCUUUUUUUUUCUUUUUUUUUCAGAGAUUUCAGUUUCGCUCUUCAGAGGGGACGGCGUGGAAUCUUUCGCGGAUCGAUGUCUAUGUAUAGCCGGCGCGCAAAGUAGCGGCUGUAAUGGUAGAUGCGAGAUGAGCUAUUUCAGCCCACCUGGGCCGUACUUUGAGCUUUCGGUGCCGAUGGGCGGGUUCUAAUACCGGUAUAAGCUGUUAUUACGAUCCACGGUUUUUCGAGAAGUUAUUUCUUUUUCCCCCCCCCCCCCCCCAUUGUCCAUCCGAGCAAGACUCCGACGAGUCUCCGUUCGCGUAGAUUCGUCGAGGAGUUAUGCCCGGGCGAUGGUUAGGUGGGAGAAUUAUAUGCACUGUACGUGUCACUUGACGUGUCACGUGGCUUCUCUUCGAGAGCGGAUUACACCACCGCGCGAAAUUCGCAAUCGCGACGACCGCGUACGCGAUCUUUACGUACGGCGCGCACGAGCAGACCCGCAGGAAAAACGAACGAACUCGAAGUUAUCGUCCGCCCGGUUUUUUUUUUCCUUCCACUACGAACGCUGUCGUUGCGUCAACCGCGCGUCGGAGACGCGCGCGAUCGAUGAAAGUAAAAGAAAUGAAAUGAACGAAGGGGAGGGGUGAUUGUAAAGCUAGGAAGGAUACUUGAAGACAGUGAGGUUGAUCGCCGGCAAUGCGAAUCGUUUUUUUUUUUUUCAUUAGAAAAAAAAACGUGUAUCGCCUGACGUAGAAAACCAAAGGGGGGAUCCCGCGCUCUGUCCCUCGUGGGAAGUAUCUCGUGCGCUUAAAUGCGAGGAAAAUUUACGCAGAAAGCGAGUCCCCAUAUUUCUAAGUAAUAGUAAUGCAGCUAUAUACUCUGAUGUAAAUACAUGGGAAUCGUUGCCACGUAUUAAAUCCGUUUUACACGAAAUUUUCAGAAGCGCGGACGAACCGUCUACAAGUCCGGGAGGUCGUCUCUUUUCCCUUUUUCUAUAUAUUUUCGUACUUGACGCGUGCGUGCGCUGAUAAAUGAAUUUAAAUCGAAUCAUAUACGAGAGAGAUCGAUUGACCUUCGCGAAUUGCCAUUGAAUUGCCGAAUGAUGUGUGAAAGACGAUUUGCAAACAAGGGUGACCGGUGUACACGUGUCGUGUCGACGUGGCCACGUGGCUUUUCUUAUAUGCCGCGCGUACGUAUUCACCACCCUUUGUACUAAGAUUUGCGAGGCAUUCGGCACCACCGUGAAGCCGCAUCGCCCACCCUCUCAUUAUCGGAUCGAUGUGUGUGUGUGUGUGUGUGUGUGUAUAUAUAUCGACACGCACACAAGCGUGCACGUAUAUGCGUGUUACGUACGCGUGCGUACGUAAGCGUGGGCGACUCUAUGGAAGGAUGGCUAUGUUAGGUUUACCUCGACGAACAGUGACGUGGUGUGGCAGCGAGUAGAGAGAGAAACAGAGAAGGAAAGAUAGGAAUGAAGAGAAGGAAGGGAUGGAGAGAUAGAGAGAAAUAGGAUGAUAAAGGGAAGUGAGGGAGGAAGAGAGAGGGCGAGAGAGAGGGGGGAGGGAGAAAGAGAGAGAGAGAACCACGUAAUCUGCGCACGUGCGGACCGAGAGCACCUCGAUCGAUCGUCCUCGCUGCAGAGUCGUUAUGAGCUGAGUACCGAUAGUGUCUCGGUUGGUAGUUGGUACUAGUAUCCAUACUGCACGAAAACUAGAGAGCACACUGACACCGUACUUGAUGCUUUCGAAUACACGAGAUGAAAGAAUACGAACAGGUCCUUACUUUUUGCUCGAAGUCUAUGAUUAUGUGUCAACCGAGAACGAUCCCAGGUAGCGAGCUAAAUUGUUUUGACGUUAAAAUGUCGUUGAAAUGACGACAAAUAACACUUGUUAUCUGAAUUACUACCUGGAUGAUAUAUCCGAUAUAUGUGGGGGUUUAAUUUUAAUUUUCAACGCAAGCUAACCGGACUUGAAGAAAGAAUAUUUGAAAAUUAUUAGCACCUCUUUCAUAUAUGUGCGACCCACAUUUUACCUCACACGACUGAAUGGUGGCUUAGCUGGAAAGACGAUCAGUGACACGAGAAAAAGUACUUAGCUUAUCAACGAAUGACCUCAAUAAACAUCUGGCCUCGAUCUAACUGACCAAAAAUGGAAAAAUUAUUUGUACGGUUAAAUAAAUAAGUCCUAUUUUAAAUUUUACCUCUUGCCAUACAUGUAUUGAAUUAUUAUGCUACAAGGAUUAAAAAAUUAUAUAAUUUUAUAUAAUUUUUGUAAUAUAAUAAAGAAAAUGCGUUAUGUGAAAUAUAAAAAUACACAUAAUGUUAUAUUACUUAGAAAAAAUCUGUCUGUUGUGCCCAUUCAGUCGUAGUUAUUUAAUGCAUUAAUAUGUAUUACAUCAUUAUAAUUUAACUUGUACUGAGAUAUAUAUAUAUUUUGACUUUGUGAUCUUUACUAUCACAGUACAAGUAAACAACUUGUUUAAUUUAUGCAAGACGAUAAACGGUGAAAUAUGAAAAGACAUAGAAUCAUUGACUUUCAGUAAUGCAAAUAGUUUCAUUUGUCAAUAAAUUAGUGUCCUUGAACUUCGUACUACAUUAAGUGACCAGCAGCGAAAAAUUUACAUUGGUAAAGAAAAAGUUUCCUAUUGGAAGAGUCCACGUGAUCAAAUCGACUGACGUUUUUAGGGUAAACGGUACAAAAGUUUUGGUCGACACAUUCGCCCAUCAGGAACACCUUACCUCCAAGCCUUCAUCAAAAUUUCAACAUAGCACCGCGGUCGCAACCAUUUCAUGUACAUAUUUCCCUCUCACGGGCGCACGAACUUUCCCAAAUAAAGUUCGGAACUUCUUUCAGGCUAAGCGCGAGCGUGUGUAAACUUUCACAAGAUACGUAAAUCGGGAGAAGUUAUUAGGCAAUCUCGCUCGUUAUUUCGCAAAGCCUAUUUCUCACAAAAUUAUCGCAGAACAUGAAACAUUCAUAAUGAAGUUCUAAAAGCUGAGAGAGAAUUUACUUUGAUCUCUAUAGUUAGGAUUGGCGUCAUGCAUAAAUAACGCAUCCCGCAAGGGGCUGUGAAUUUUAAAUAGGUUACAUAAAUAAGUAUUUUACGACCUGUUUUGUCAUAUGUCAGAUAAUGAGGCGUCGAGGAAAUUUUCAGAUACGUAAAAUGGAAUGUUAAAUAUACUUUACAAGGUUAUGUUAAAUUUUCAAAAUUUUUAAUCAAAUACUUUUUCAAAUAUUUAACGUAAUAUUAUAAAUAUUACUUGUAAUAUUUACAAGCGAAUUAAAUUUCAUACUUAAAAAGAUAUCUACAAAUUUAAUGCAGCGUAAUGUACAUAGAAGAGAGAAAGAGGGAGAGAGGGGGGGAGAGAAAGAGAGAGCGAGCAUGAAAUCAUUAUAGAAUUAAAUUUAUUUACGGUAAUGUUUACUCUUUUAUUAUAAUUAAUUUCGCGAUUAAUAAGGUGAACCCAUCAUAGAUGAGCUAUCAUAAUUUGAAUAUUUAUUUAGUUUUUCGACGUUAAUAUAGAAUCUUUUAAUAAAGAGACGAGUGAGGUUCUCUUUAGCAGGAAAAUUACAGUUCAUUAUCGGUUGGCUUAAUAUUUCAUGAGUACCUUCUUAAUUGUCAUCGUCGAUGCCUAUAAAAUGGCGAAACAGGUCACUUCGGGCAGGCAAAGUUUAAUCAGGGAUCCCAUAUUUAUGAAGAACCCACCCGAUCACAAACAUUAAAUAUUCUCGCGCUAUAUACGAUGUAUUUGCGUAUUCGACUACCUGACAUAUUCGAUAUUCGUUGUACGGCAUAAGAUUUAAAUAUAUCAUCGAGAGGAACCGUGUUUACGUGCGUACAUGUUUAUAGCGGAGCAGAAUCGAUACGGCGCGUAAGAGAACCGUAAUUUGCAGGGACAGGUAAAAUAAGAAGAAAAAAAAAAAGAAAGAAAAACCGACCGUGUAAUCAAAGCCGCCGAUGAUGUCUCUUUUUAUCGCGAAAA